GAUGGCUACACAUUUCAGAAUAGCCAAAGCCGACCGAUUUUCCGGUCAAGUAACCAGCUUGGCCCACAUUGCUAAUGCAAACAAGAUUGUUAAAGAGAAGCUCACGCCAACGCAGUUGGACAUGUUCAAGAGAACAGUUUUUGGGCCAUUUGUAGAUGUUGACAUGGUGUUUAACAGCCCAAUUGUCCAUCACAUGUUGCUUAGAGAAGUGAAGACUCAAUGUCAUUCUCUGUUUGUGGGAAGAUUGUCACUUUUUCGAAGGAUGACUUUUUGGUGAUGAUUGGUUUGUGGCAAUCCCCAACACGAGUUGAUCUGAACCAACAGUCCUCAUAUGAACUUGCUAUCAAGUAUUUUGGUAAUUGAGUGACGAAGGACAGUUUACACCUCCGUCAACUUGAAGAGAAAUACAAGGACUUAGAGUUUGAAAAUGAUGAUGAUGCUGUGAAGAUCAACCUAGUUUACUAUACUGAGGUCACAGUGAUGGGGAAAAACAAACAGAAAAAUGCAAUCGACCUCAAACAUUUCAAGGACGUUCAAAACUUGGAGUACUACAAUAGUCUUGAUUGGGAUACCAUUAUUUGGGAGAGGACAUUGGAUGCUCUAAAGACCGCGUUGAAUGAUAAGAGCAGUUUGUACAAGACGAGGGUCAAAGCAAAUAAAAACUACAUUGUGAAGUACUCUUUAUGUGGAUUUCCACAAGCGUUCCAGGUAUGGAUGUACAAGAUCCUAACUUCAUCGAUAGUUAGGAACAUUAUGGAGCGAAAGAGUAAGGUGGCUUUGCCCCGCAUAUUAUGAUGGUCAUGCUCCCACUCAGUGUCCUUCAAGUACUCGAGAGAGAGAUAUUCGAGUCUAACAAUAUAAAGGUUAAAAAGGGCACUGUCAUGUCAGAUGCUGAAAGGGAGUUUCGGGAUACCCCAGUGGAACGACAACCUAUAUUUGAGCUAGGUGCGGAUGAUCAUAGUUCUGAAAGUGGCAAUAGGUCGACGAGUGAGGGGGGUAGUCCUGAAAGUGAAAGUGACGAUGAUGAUCAUCGUGGAGAUGACAAUGAUGAGGUUGUCAGGGUGGAGGGAGGGGAAAAACCCGAGCAUUCUG